UUAAGUCAAUCCUUUCAGGCAAAGAAAGAAGCAAAGCUUGCUUUGUCUCGACAAGGUCUUCUGCGGAAGGGCUUAGACCCAAAGCUAUCCGCUCUCAAGCUUCCAUCAGCUGAACAACUGAGUUUAAAGCGUGUGGAUCCAGCUAAGCUUGAGAUUCAUGUAAAAAUGAAAACUUAGCAAGGAGGAGAGACUUGCAUUAGUUAAAGCUGGAAGGGAAGAUAGGGUGAAGUACCAGGCCAGAACUGCAACUAAGCAAAAUAAGACGGGUGGACUUAGCAAUCGUCAGAAGGAACACAAAAAGGCGAUGCCUCUCGCUGCCAAACGAGCAAAGGUUGCUCGUUCGAGCCAAGAGAAGAGGAAGAACCAAAAUAGAUCUGGCAAACAGUUCCGGGGAAAGAAAGCCUGGAAGUGAGACAACUACAACAAAUGUUGUUUUCACCAAGUUUUGACGUGGUUAAUUUUGUUUUACUUUUCACCUUUUCUAUUUUUUUUUCUGUAGUUGUUUAAAUCCACAAUGGCUGUAAUCCAUAUGUAAUUUAACUGUUGUUAUAUAUUCUUGGUGAAUGGCAUUAUAUUAUGAAUGAAU